GUGCCAGCCGCCGCGGUAAUACGGAGGGUGCAAGCGUUGUUCGGAAUCACUGGGCGUAAAGGGCGUGUAGGCGGUCUGCUAAGUCUGAUGUGAAAUCCCGAGGCUUACCCUCGGAAGUGCAUUGGAGACUGGCAGACUAGAGUCCCGGAGAGGAGGGUGGAAUUCCUGGUGUAGCGGUGAAAUGCGUAGAUAUCAGGAGGAACACCGGUGGCGAAGGCGGCCCUCUGGACGGUGACUGACGCUGAGACGCGAAAGCGUGGGGAGCAAACAGGAUUAGAAACCCGUGUAGUCC
rnacentral:rRNA from 1 species